UCUCCGUUGGUGGACCAGCGGAAGGAUCAUUACAGAGUUGCAAAACUCCCAAACCAUUGUGAACGUUACCUAUCCCGUUGCUUCGGCGGGCGGCCCGGGCCCCGCGCCCGGCGCCCCCCGGCCCCCCGUGGGCGCCCGCCGGAGGUAAACCAAACCCUUGAAUUGCAUGGCCUCUCUGAGUCUUCUGUACUGAAUAAGUCAAAACUUUCAACAACGGAUCUCUUGGUUCUG
rnacentral:misc_RNA from 1 species